CUUUUUUUAAUGAACAUAUAUAUAUACUUCUCCGGAACAUGAUAUAGAGAUCAAUUAACAUGACUCUCUGGUUUAAAGAUUCUUGUCAGUCAGUGUAUAUUCAUUAAAAAAGUGCACUAUGUGUAUGAUGCCAUGCUGCUGGAUGUGAUGUGAUAUGUCUUCCAGUAGGCAAUUUAUUAUUUUGCCUAUGAAAGUUUAUAGAAAAGAAAUAAAUAUAUGUAUCACUUUCUUAAAAAAAUCAUCAUUCAAACUAUGGAGUAUAAGAUGGCAGCAUUCAGAGCCCUUCUGUUGAAAAUUAAUGCAUACUAAUAUGCAGGAAGUGAAAUUUCUUGCAUGCUAGGUCAUAGAAUGAGCAAAAAUCUAUGGUUACACCUUGAAUGCCAUAUGGAGACUAAGGAAAAUGAUGAAAAAAAUUUUAAUGAUAGGAAUCAUAGAAAUGAACAAUUAGGGAGGAUAAAGUUUUUUCGUAAUCUGUGCAUAAACCAACCAAUGAUGAACAUGAAAAGAGAAAAAGUAUACAGGCAAAAGCAGCUCUGUUUAAGACAGAGCAUGAAUAUAAAUUUCAAACUAUUUAAAAUUUUAUUUAUUGUUCCUCUGCA
rnacentral:lncRNA from 1 species